UGCACUAUAGCUUGCUAAUGACAGUUUGCUAGAUGUUAGCCGAAUAAGCAUACAAACCUUGUAUAAGUUAACCACACGUGCCGUGCCGACGGGGCCGGCCGGAUGUACGUGGCAGUGCGGUACGCGUGCCAUGCGGAGCCGGUCACCGUACCUUGCGUGGCGUCCCGUCUGGUGAGACAGAGCGCCGGGCGCGAACCGAUGCCACGUAAACGGCCAG
rnacentral:lncRNA from 1 species